GCACAAGUCCCGCCCCCAGACCCUCCAAUCCGCGCUUGGCCACACCCUCCUCCUCUCCGGCCCGCGUCGUCUUCCGGGUUUCUGUUCGCCGCUCGGGCUUCCUGGUGUUCCCCGGGCGCCUUCAGUCCUCCUGCCUUGCCCUUCAGCACCGUGAUCACGUGGAACGCUGGUGGGCCGACCCGAGCUUUGCCUGAUGAGUGCCAGAACUAACAGUUGGGACUCAUGCAAAACAAUAUUCCUGGCACUAUGUGAAUCAAGAUGAGAACAAUGCCAGAGGAAGACACAUCACCCUGCAGUGCAGCAACUAACUGGCCCCAGAAUCCUUCCUGUUCAACAGCUGAGCAAAGCCACCAGUGAUAACAAAGAAAACACUUAAACUGGCUCAGACUCCUUCGCAAAGUGAAUUGUCUGCUACUUGAAAAACACCAUUCUUGUGUCUACAUCAUGCCUGCAGUGAGUGAACCAUAGCUCAUAUGUACGUCAAGCCAACACCCUUCCCUCUCCGCAGGCGGUGCUGAGCACAGGAGGGAGGUGUGAGUGCUGAGUCCAGGAGGGUGAGGAUUCUGGAUGUCAUUGAUCAUCAGCAUGACCACUUGAAUCCAGUCUUGAUUCGUAAGACUUCUGGUUUCUGAUUCAAGGAUCUACAAGGGCUACAAUGAAAUAAUCAACUAGGGGCUCAAGUUUAAAUUUUUUGCA
rnacentral:lncRNA from 1 species